UGAGGAAUAUUGGUCAAUGGUCGAGAGACUGAACCAGCCAAGUCGCGUGAAGGAUGACUGCCCUAUGGGUUGUAAACUUCUUUUACAAGGGAAUAAAAUGAGAUACGUGUAUUUUAUUGCAUGUACCUUGUGAAUAAGCAUCGGCUAACUCCGUGCCAGCAGCCGCGGUAAUACGGAGGAUGCGAGCGUUAUCCGGAUUUAUUGGGUUUAAAGGGUGCGUAGGUGGGCUGUUAAGUCAGCGGUGAAAGUUUGUCGCUUAACGAUAAAAUUGCCGUUGAAACUGGUAGUCUUGAGUAUAGAUGAAGUAAGCAGAAUGCGUGGUGUAGCGGUGAAAUGCAUAGAGAUCACGCAGAACUCCGAUUGCGAAGGCAGCUUACUAAGGUAUAACUGACACUGAAGCACGAAAGCGUGGGUAUCAAACAGG
rnacentral:rRNA from 1 species